UCUCAGAAUCUUCGACAUCAA
rnacentral:snRNA from 1 species